rnacentral:lncRNA from 1 species
UUUCCUCCACAUUUUUGCUCAAGUGAUAGAUUGCUCCUUUGCCUAACUAAGAUGAGCAACACCGACAGUUGCUCAACCUUCAUUAUUAUGCAACCGUAUUUAUUAUUAUGAAACACAUUAACCAUAAGGAAUCACCAAAUUAUACAUUAGACAAUGUUUUCUCUAGAAAACUAUGAAUUUAGUUGUCUAUUCGGAUGUAAAAGAUUCACAUUGUUGUGUAUUGGCAAAUACUGAAAAUGGAGGACCAACUAUUGAAUUAUUUC